rnacentral:piRNA from 1 species
UAAUGGCAGGAGAAUGUAUAUGUUGACAUU